rnacentral:rRNA from 1 species
GCGCAGCAGUCGAGAAACCUCCGCAAUGCGGGAAACCGCGACGGGGGACCCCGAGUGCCGUGGCAACGCCACGGCUUUUCCGGAGUGUAAAAGCUCCGGGAAUAAGGGCUGGGCAAGGCCGGUGGCAGCCGCCGCGGUAAUACCGGCGGCCCGAGUGGUGGCCGCUAUUAUUGGGCCUAAAGCGUCCGUAGCCGGGCCCGUAAGUCCCUGGCGAAAUCCCACGGCUCAACCGUGGGGCUUGCUGGGGAUACUGCGGGUCUUGGGACCGGGAGAGGCGGGGGGUACCCCUGGGGUAGGGGUGAAAUCCUAUAAUCCCAGGGGGACCGCCAGUGGCGAAGGCGCCCCGCUGGAACGGGUCCGACGGUGAGGGACGAAGGCCAGGGGAGCAAACCGGAUUAGAUACCCGCGUAGU